CAACAACACCAACAGCAUCAACAACAACACCAGACCACUACCAGCCCUUCCGCCGCCUACGAAGCGCCUGAAGCACACCAUCACUAAGUGCCACUGUGGCUCAUCGGGUGUUCGGGCUCACGGCCUUCGCAACGCCACGCUGGUCCUCCACUCUGCUCGCCGAUUUCCUUCCGCUUCAGUAUUUAUUUAUUUUCUAAUUUAUUUCAAGUCGUACUGACUGAUCAGACUGAUCAAUAAAAGAUACGGUAAAUAAA
rnacentral:lncRNA from 1 species